CAGUAGCCGCGGGAAAACGAAGGGGGCUAGCGUUGCUCGGAAUGACUGGGCGUAAAGGGCGCGUAGGCGGCCAUUCAAGUUAGAUGUGAAAGCCCUGGGCUCAACCUAGGAAUUGCAUUUGAUACUGUUUGGCUUGAGUUCGGGAGAGGUGAGUGGAAUUCCCAGUGUAGAGGUGAAAUUCGUAGAUAUUGGGAAGAACACCAGUGGCGAAGGCGGCUCACUGGACCGACACUGACGCUGAGGCGCGAAAGCGUGGGGAGCAAACAGGAUUAGAUACCCGGGUAGUCCCUGUCUCUUAUAC
rnacentral:rRNA from 1 species